UACGUAGGGGGCAAGCGUUGUCCGGAAUCAUUGGGCGUAAAGAGCGUGUAGGCGGCCCGAUAAGUCCGCUGUGAAAGUCCAAGGGCUCAACCCUGGGAUGCCGGUGGAUACUGUCAGGCUCGAGUCCGGAAGAGGAGUGUGGAAUUCCUGGUGUAGCGGUGAAUGCGCAGAUAUCAGGAGGAACACCAAUGGCGAAGGCAGCACUCUGGGACGUGACUGACGCUGAGACGCGAAAGCGUGGGAGCAAACAGG
rnacentral:rRNA from 1 species